AGAACCUAGGUUGCCUUAGAGAGGUUCUCCGGUGUCCCGAGGGCGGCUUAAGUCAGAGUUGUUGGGUUUUGCUCAGAUUGGUGUGGGAAGAGCCUGCCUGUGGGGAGCGGCCACUCCGUACUGCUGAGGCCUCAGGACUGCUGCUCAGCUUGCCCGUUACCUGAAGAGGCGGCGGAGCCGGGCCCCUGACCGGUCACCAUGUGGGCCUUCUCGGAAUUGCCCAUGCCGCUGCUGAUCAAUUUCAUCGUCUCGCUGCUGGGAUUUGUGGCCACAGUCACCCUUAUCCCGGCCUUCCGGGGCCACUUCAUUGCUGCGCGCCUCUGUGGUCAGGACCUCAACAAAACCAGUCGACAGCAGAUCCCAGAAUCCCAGGGAGUGAUCAGCGGUGCUGUUUUCCUUAUCAUCCUCUUCUGCUUCAUCCCUUUCCCCUUCCUGAACUGCUUUGUGAAGGAGCAGUGUAAGGCAUUCCCCCACCAUGAAGUAAGUGGGUUCGUGGGGGUGAUUGCCUGUGGCUGGGACCUGGGAGUUACCUGAGAGAAUUGGGGUUAUUUGGGCUUGUGGGGAGGGG
rnacentral:sRNA from 1 species